rnacentral:rRNA from 1 species
UACGUGGGGGGCAAGCGUUGUUCGGAAUUAUUGGGCGUAAAGGGCGCGUAGGCGGUGUCGCAAGUCCGUGGUGAAAUCUCUAGGCUCAACUUAGAGACUGCCGCGGAAACUGCGGUGCUUGAGUGUGGGAGAGGUGCGUGGAAUUCCCGGUGUAGCGGUGAAAUGCGUAGAGAUCGGGAGGAACACCAGUGGCGAAGGCGGCCAUCUGGCUCAACAUUGACGCUGAGGCACGAAAGCGUGGGGAGCAAACAGG